rnacentral:rRNA from 1 species
UACGUAGGGUGCAAGCGUUGUCCGGAUUUAUUGGGUUUAAAGGGUGCGUAGGCGGCGCGGUAAGUCGGGUGUGAAAUCUUGGAGCUUAACUCCGAAACUGCAUUCGAUACUGCCGUGCUUGAGGACUGGAGAGGAGACUGGAAUUUACGGUGUAGCAGUGAAAUGCGUAGAUAUCGUAAGGAAGACCAGUGGCGAAGGCGAGUCUCUGGACAGUUACCGACGCUGAGGCACGAAGGUCAGGGGAGCAAACGGG